UACGAAGGGGGCUAGCGUUGUUCGGAAUCACUGGGCGUAAAGCGCACGUAGGCGGAUCUUUAAGUCAGAGGUGAAAUCCCAAGGCUCAACCUUGGAACUGCCUUUGAUACUGGGGAUCUUGAGUCCGGGAGAGGUGAGUGGAACUGCGAGUGUAGAGGUGAAAUUCGUAGAUAUUCGCAAGAACACCAGGUGGCGAAGGCGGCAUCCUGGCC
rnacentral:rRNA from 1 species